rnacentral:lncRNA from 1 species
UUUGGUUUUGAAGUCAAGGUGCACAAGGCACAUUAUCACAUAUUGGAGUAAAGUGUAAGAUGUUUGCUCAUUAUGGAUAUUUUUCAGCAGCAAACAUAAAGUUUUACAAGAAAUGAAGUUGCAGAACUGAAGAAAAACAACGCUAGUAUCUAUUGGCUUAGAAACUGUAGUUUCUGCAGGGUGAGCUCAGAUGCCAUCUUCCUGCUAAACACUGAGAGGAAGGGAAAAAAGAGAAGUGAAACGUUUUCUAGUGUCUACUCUAGCCAUUGUAAUUAGUAGGAGGGAUAUUUUGCUGAUUACUCAGGUGAAUGACAUACCAGUAAUAGCAACAUGGCAUUAAUAACUUGGGAGGAAUGAGAAAGAGUUCAUACUUGAGUGAAUGUGCCUCUCCCAGCAAGAAGCAUCUGAGUCACCAAAAAAUCGAUCACUGAGAUCAGGCAGCCCAGUUGUGGCUUUUGUCUUUUUGCUUUUAGUUAAACAUCAAGAUGAAUUACAGGGUGGUUGAUCUGUUUAGGUGACUGGAGCUUUGGGUGGAUUGUGUCCCAGUGUUUAUAGUGUUUCUGUCUCGUUGUUUUGUUUUAUAAAGCUCUGUUCGUCUGGCAGGAAGAAUGGAGCAGCAUUUACACAUGUAGUGCUGAAUCUGCAGCUGGAUCAAAUGGCACAUGCUCAAAAUAAGUAGGCAUUUAGGACUAACUGCUUGGUUAGCAGCAGUGACUUUGUAGCAGACAAAAUCACCAAAAAGCUAUGUCUCUCUCUCUUUUACAGUAUGCGUAAAGAAGUUGUUUAAGACAGAGAGGAAAAUGCUGAUUGUACUAUCAGCUGGUUUAAGGAUUAUGCCAUUAUCUUGUAAACAUACUUUUUUUUUUCCUUUUCAUUCUAGGUGCCACAGGGACUACUAAAGAUGCAGCAGAAGAAUCUGUAUCAGAUGAUGACAAAAGGAGGAACUACGGGGGUGUGUAUGUUGGUCUGCCAUCAGAUGCGGCUGCCAUGGUUUCCAGUCAGACGAAAACUGCACCAAAAGAUUAGAAGGAAAUAAACACAUCAAGAUCAAAACAGCUGGAGGUCAGUAUGGCUUAAUUGUUGUUACGUGUUUGGGAUGUGUUAGUUGGAAGGAAACCAGGUGGUGAUGCUCUGUGAGCUUCUGUCAGGAAUCUGGGGAUCGCCUGCUUGUGUUUCCAGCUGCACUGUGACUUCUAAGGGCUGAACCAGAGUCAGGUCUCAGUGGUGCAGACAAAAACGAAGCAGUGGGUUAAAGCCACCUUCUUGGUGAGAAGUGUGAAGCAAGGAAACUGCAUCUUUUCCUGUUUGUGUAUGAAUAAAAAUCAAAUGUCUUUGUACUCCCCUUCA